UGCUGGUGCUGCAAACUCCUGACAGAGAAGUACUGGUCAAGGAAGUGCAGCCUUAGCUCCCCACGCGAAUCAAGGACAUGCUGGCCACUGCCACACAGGUCAGGAUGAGCAGGGAAGUUUGCAGGGUUUAAGAUUUGCAGAAAGCACCAGGGAGGAGGAGAGGAGACGUAGCGAGAAGGCCCACUGCUGUAGGCACUGAGCUCAUCCGCAAGAGGCCGGAAAAUGGGGUGCAGUCAGGCUGAUCCUAAAAGCACUCAUGGCUCCCUGAGCUUAGCCUCCUACCCCCCACCAUGCAUUCUCACCUGCUCUGAGGAGCAGCUUGGACCCCACCCACAGGGGAGCCAGGAGGAUAAAUAAGAUGCAGAGAGGCACGGGGCAGGCACAAUUCCCCCACCGAGAGGCCCAGGCCUCCGACUGCCUUCCCCGCACCCUUUCUAAAUGCCUUUAGUACUUAAAACCCAAAGGGACUCUGCUUUACUUGGGAAUGCGUGGGUUCAGUAUGCAUACACCCCCCCGAGCACUUGCCAAACAAUGAUGGAGCCAGAAGAGGCUUCCGGACCCCUGGACACCUGGACAUGGAUUUGGAGGAAGACAUGCCCCACUUUCUUCUAGAGAGAGUUGGAAAGAUACCAGCCCGGGGCAAAGCAGAGGCUGCUCGGGUGUGAAGUGAGCAGUGACCCUGCAGGCGCGAGAACCCGAAGGUGAGCAAAGCCCCAGCCAAAUGACGUGUGGGCCAGCUUCUACCCCUGGUGCUUUGCUGGAGGAAUCUCACCCCAACAGGGGCCGGGGCAAGGCCCCUUCUGGAUAGCAGCAACCGCUAGGCAGGAAGCCUCUGUCCUUUCUAACCUGAUACUGUUCUGUCCUUGCCUCUUUACAGGGAAUGUCACAGGCACUGCUGGGAAGAACCCCUCCCCUGGCUAGAAGCUCAUGAAGAAAAGCAUCAGAGGCCUUUCCAACCCAAAAGAGGAAGAUCAAAACCCUUUGAAAACAUGGAAUCUCAGGGACCAGCAGUUCAUGGACUGCCUGAGCCCUUCCAGCCAGCAAGCCGCCCAGCCUGCACUCCCCCUUCAACUCCUGAAUGAUGCUUUAGAAUGAUGCUUGGUGGAAGAGGACCAUAGACAGAAACUGGCCAUUCUGACAGCACCAUUUUACCCCUGGGGAUAUCUGGCAUAUAUUUUAAUCCAAAUUAUCCCAGAACAAAGUUUCAUUUGAAAUCAUUUUCUGGAGAGAAUCCCAUUAAGCCCAUUUAAUGCCUUGAUUAUUUUUCACACCCAGGUACUUCUAAUUUUUCAUCUUUAUGUAGUCAACAUUAUUCUCCUGAGGAUUGGUUCCUUUCUAUUUCAAAUAAACAGAUUUGAUUGAA